rnacentral:rRNA from 1 species
UGGCUCAGGACGAACGCUGGCGGCGUGCCUAACACAUGCAAGUCGAGCGAGGAGAUCCUUCGGGAUGAUCCUAGCGGCGGACGGGUGAGUAACACGUGGGCAACCUGCCUCAUAGAGAGGAAUAGCCUUCCGAAAGGGAGAUUAAUACCUCAUAACAUUGCAGUUUCGCAUGGAACAGCAAUUAAAGGAGUAAUCCGCUAUGAGAUGGGCCCGCGGCGCAUUAGCUAGUUGGUGAGGUAAUGGCUCACCAAGGCGACGAUGCGUAGCCGACCUGAGAGGGUGAUCGGCCACAUUGGGACUGAGACACGGCCCAGACUCCUACGGGAGGCAGCAGUGGGGAAUAUUGCACAAUGGGGGAAACCCUGAUGCAAGCAACGCCGCGUGAGUGAUGACGGCCUUCGGGUUGUAAAGCUCUGUCUUCAGGGACGAUAAUGACGGUACCUGAGGAGGAAGCCACGGCUAACUACGUGCCAGCCGCAGC